rnacentral:lncRNA from 1 species
CGAGCUGCUUCUUUUGCAGGCAACUCUGGCGCUGUGGGUGAUUGUCCAGGUGCCCGAGUGCCACGAGGCAAUGAUCCUUUAUUCAGCCCGCCUGUUUGUGACUCUGCUCUUCCAAGUUGUCAUCACCACACAGCAGGUGCCAGAGGAAGUUGAUCACUUCUGGAGAGCAUGCCGGGAGGAACACCGCCUUCCCACCAACCCCAACAGGCCAGAAGAAUGGGCAGCCUGUCUCAACGGCUUGUGGAGCUGCUGGGUGAUGCAGAUGGAGAGGUGGUCAGGAUGUCCCUCUCUGUGUUCAUGAAUGUGCUGGAGAACAAAGACAUCCUGGUAUCCAGCACCACUGCCCCGAAACUGGCUGAGGCACUCUUGCCACUCUUUGAAAAUGUAAGGCUCUGUGCCCCCAGCCACUGACACUGGCUGCUGCCCAGACACUUUGUGCCCUGUGGAUUUUUAGGCCGUUGCCCACAUGGGCUGGAGAAGUUGCUGCUGAGGUUUUUUCCUUUACUCC